CCCCUCUCGGGUUUGCACCUGGAGAGUUUCCAGUUCUCUACCAGUCUCCACUUUGGGAGGGAGAGUCAAGCAGAGGCACUUCCAUUCCUAGCUUGGGCAGUGGCUAGCGAGUGGACGGCAAUCUGCUACAAGU